GGAGUCAAUACCGAGGAAGCACCCCUGGAAAGUACUGAGCACCCACGUGUGCCAGACUACCAGUAGGCUACAUUCAUUUAAAUUAAACAUUGCAGUUGGUGCUAAGUGGAGCGUCUGUCAUAGUGUGAUUGGUUAUUUUGCUGUCAGUCCCCUGCUCCACUGAUUCUUAAUUUCCCACAAAGCUGAUCACGGUUACGUGUCAGUUGAACUUCUCAUCUCCAAUUCUAUCUGUAUUUGUGAGAAGUGGCGCUGUACUGAGAUGAUAGCCUACUUUA